CUUCUAAUUAAAAAGCCCCAAAUAAACCCUAGAUUUUCCAUUCUAGGGUUUCAUCUCAAGAAAACCUCUAAAACAUGAAUCAAAAGAUGGAAUCAUGCUACUAACCUCAAAAGAAGUCUCAACUUGGGCUCAAAAUCAAGUGGGGUGGAAGAUCUCUCCUCCAACAAGCCUCCAACGAAGCUCCAAGUCCUCUCCAAUGGUGGAAAAGCCUCCAACAAGCAAAAGGAGCAAAAGAGAUGUUUAAUCUCUUAAAAUCCAAGCAAAAAUCA
rnacentral:lncRNA from 1 species